UUUUUUUUUUUUUGCUAGUAAUACACCUAAAAUUCUGCAAAAAAAAUUUCUGCAGUUUUUUUUCCCACUCUAGUAGCAGAUUUUGAAAUUCUGUACAAAAUAAAUCUGCAGUUUUUUUAAGUUGCUACAAUUCAUUUUUUUUACUCAAGUGGCAGAUUUGAAAUUCUAUAGAAAAAAAAUUUUGCAUUUUUUUAUUCUAGUGGCAGAACUGAAAUUCUGCAAAAGAAAA
rnacentral:misc_RNA from 1 species